rnacentral:rRNA from 1 species
CAUUUGUCUUUUAAAUGAAGACUUGUAUGAACGGCAAAACCUCCUCCAACUGUCUCCCCUCCCAUCCUUCCAAAUUUCCUCCUGUGUGAAGAAGCACAGAUACACCAGAAAGACGAGAAGACCCCGUCGAGCUUUAACCACUAAGUGGGCCUUACCCUUUCAGGCACCACCCAAAGGUUUUGGUUGGGGCAACCACGGAGAAAAAACAUCCUCCAGAACGAAUAGAAGAAAGCUUUUCACUAUUAUUACGACUAAGAACCAGGAACUGGUAUUCGGAAAGAGUUACCGCAGGGAUAACAGCGUCAUCUCCUCUAAGAGUCCUUAUUGACGAGGAGGUUUGCGACCUCGAUGUUGGAUUGGGGCCCCCUUAGGGUGCAGAAGCUCUAAACGGUUAGACUGUUCGUCUAUUAAAGCCCUACAUGAUCUGAGUUCAAAACCGGAGAU